UUUUUGUGUAAGCUUAGUGUUUAGGUAAAUCUUUAAAAAUGGAAGAUGUAAAAGGUUUAGUGUCAGUUCGUGGAUAUAAAAAACAAACCAUAACGCGCAUAUACAACGAUGUGCAGUCAUCGGAAUUAAAAGAAAGGUGCGAAGAUGACAAUGAAUUCGAGAAGUACUAGGAUAAAUACACCAAUGCGUUAACGACUAUAAAUGACGCAUUGGGCAAAUAUUCCUUUGAAAAUGUAGAGGUUAAAAGUAGCCCUCGAGCUCACACUACCGAACUGCCGAACAUAGAAAUAAGAUCGUUCACAGGGAAGUAUAGUGAAUAUAUCCAAUUUAAAAUCGUGUUUAUGUCUGUUAUAGACAAAAAUAAAAAUUUAGAUAACGUACAAAAACUAUACUACUUAAGAAACUUUUUAAGAGUUGAACGAUUAGAUCUAAUUGUUAAUUUGCCACUUAUUAGUGAAAGUUAUGCAGACUCAUUGCAAAUAUUGGAAGGUAGGUAUGCAAACGAGUCGCUUAUAGUGAGUGAUCAUAUUACACAAUUAUUAGAUAUGCCUCAAAUAAAAAAUAAUGCUCCUUCUUUUAGAGAAUUUAUUUCACAAAUUAAACAAAAUAUAGCAGCGUUAAAAAAUUUAAAUCCCAAUGUCAGUACAUGGGAUUCCAUUUUAAUGUGUAUGCUUUUAAGAAAGAUAGACUCUGUUACUGCAAAAGCCUUUCAGAUGGAUCGCAAUAUAAAAAAAAGCCUAC